UACUGCUGAAUUUCAUAUUAAUAACUCUAUUGAACUCAUUAACAAUUCUUUAUGCAUAUGUAUUGUAUAAAGCAGAAGUGUUCAUGCUCUCUAGCAUUGCUAAACAAUAACUACCUUCACUUGAGAAUUAAGAGAUACAAUGACUUUGAUAAUUCGCCAAUUGGUAAUCUGUGAGUACAAUAAUUAAAGUUUACGCCAUGCAGUCGAAUGCUUCAUUUUGGGUUUCAAUAAUGACGAGGAUGGGACACAGAAGCACGCUGCUGUUUUCAAUUACAAACGUUCCACAAUCAAAGAAAAGAAAACGCGGUUAUAUAAACACAUUCUCGUGCAUGAAAGGUAACCAAAGUUUCAACUGGUUCUUUUGACUUUACUAAAUUUACUUUUCUAAUCUAAUUGGACGUUCUUUGUUAUAAUAGUCAGCCUAAUCCAUAAACUUAUCACUGAAAAGGAAAGCUAUUGAAAUGAUGAUCUGCCAACUGACUUGAUCAUUCCUUUAGUCUUAAUAUUCUGGUUUACGAGGAAAAAAGGCUUUUAAAAACCUUCUUCAUUGGAUGCCCAUAAAAUGAGCAAAAAGUUGCUAAAAUAUGCAACAACAAAACUUGCCCAUUUUACUGCUCUCAAAACACGUCAACUUUCAUCACAUUCACUAUAAUCAUGAAUUCCAGUUUAAUAUCACUAAAAGAAAAUUUAAUGUAAUUAAAAAUAUCUAGUAUAAAUGUUGA